ACAGAGGGUUUGAUUCUGGCUCAGAUUGAACGCUGGCGGGAUGCUUUACACAUGCAAGUCAGACGGCAGCACGGACUUCGGUCUGGUGGCGAGUGGCGAACGGGUGAGUAAUGUAUCGGAACGUGCCUAGUAGCGGGGGAUAACUACGCGAAAGCGUAGCUAAUACGCGCAUACGCCCUUCGGGGGAAAGCGGGAACCUUCGGGCCUCACGCCGCACUUGUGGAAGCGACGGAAAGUAUCGGAUUAGCUAGUUGGUGAGGUAACGAGCUCGCAAGGCGACGAUCCGUAGCUGGUUGAGAGGACGACCAGCCACACUGGGACUGAGACACUGACCCAGACUCCUACAGGAGGCAGCAGUGGGGUACUGGUUCAAUAGAAGCACGUUAAGCGCAUCCCGCGUGUGCGAUGAAGGCCUUCGGGUUGUAAAGCACUUUUGGCAGGAAAACGGCACGGGAUAAUACCCCGUGCAGCUUCGGCAACACCGCGAAACAAACGCGGCCCAACUACGUGCCAGCAGCCGCGGUAACAUGGGGUGCGAAGCGUUAAUCGGAAUUACUGGGCGUAAAGCGUGCGCAGGCGGUUCGGAAGAAAGAUGUGAUCCCAGAGCUUAACUUUGGAACUGCAUUUUUAACUUCUGACUGGUGUGUCAGAGGGAGAGUGGAAUUCCGCGUGCUUAGCAGUGAAAUGCGCAUGAAUAUGCGGAGGAACACCGAUGGCGAAGGCAACCUCCUGGGAUAGCACUGGCAGCUCAGCCGCACGAAAGCGUGGAACGACAAGUUAGAUACCCUGGUAGUCCACGCCCUAAACGAUGUCAACUAGCUGUUGGGGCCUUCGGGCCUUGGUAGUAGCUAACGUGAGGUGUUCCUGCGGGAGUACGGUCGCAGAUUAAACUCGAAUUGACGGGGACCGCACAAGCGGUGGAUGAUGUGGUUAAUUCGAUGCAGCGCGAAAAACCUUACCUACCCUUGACAUGUCUGGAAUCCCGAAGAGAUUUGGGAGUGCUCGCAAGAGAACCGGAACACCAGAUUCUUGCAUGGCUGUCGUCAGCUCGUGUCGUGAGAUGUUGAGUUGGAAGUCCCACCAACGAGCGCAGCCAUACGUCAUUAGUUGCUACGAAAGGACACUCUAAUGAGACUGCCGGAAGGCGUUGAGCCGGAGGAAGAGGAGUGGGGAUGACGUCAAGUCCUCAUAGGCACUUAUGGUAGGGAUUCACACGUCAUACAAUGGUCGGGACAGAGGUCGCCAACCCGCCGGGAGAACCGGAUAUCCCAGAAACCCGAUCGUAGUCCGGAUCAUGAUCUGCAACUCGACUGCGUGAAGUCGGAGAAUCGCUAGCUUAAUCGCGGAUCAGCAUGUCGCGGUGAAUACGUUACGGUCUUGAACACACCGCCCGUCACACCAUGGGAGUGGGUUUACCAGAAGUAGUUAGCCUAACCGUAAGGAGGGCGAUUACCACGGUAGGAUUCAUGACUGGGGUGAAGUCGUAACAGACAAC
rnacentral:rRNA from 1 species